ACAACAAAGGUGGCUUCCUUUGUCCUUACCAUAAAGCUAUCUAGAAACUUGCAGUGCCUAAAAAAAAUCAAAGUCUGUGCUGUUGGAUUGCACGUGUUAGUACUUUAUUAUUCCAUACAUCUUUUUUCACCUUUUGAAUUUGUUGCUUAAUAAAAUAGGGGGAAGCUCUUCGCUUCCUCCUUUUCCACUCAAAAAGAAAAAAAAAGAAAAGAAAAUCAAAGUCUUCCUUUGGCUUGUUUUAAAAAAACAAACAUCACAUUGGGGAGGUAUUAGCUAGGAAAGGAUGGUCGGUGAGCGUAGGUUGCCAUCUCUGCGGCGGCACUAAGGAGACUAGCUCUCAUAUUUUUCUUAGAUGCACCUUCACUAAAAGCAUUUGGACCACCUUCAAAACUUGUGUCAAUAUUAGAGGUUGGCCAAUCAAUUUUGAAUUCCUUCUGGACCACUUGGAGGAUAAAGAAAUUUCAGCUUUCCUUGAGAAAACCUUGAGAUUGAUCAGCUUCUAAUGGCUUUGUUUCGGCACUGUAGCUUGACAGGAAUGGUAGCAUUUUCCUUCGCAAGCAGCACUCUUUAUCUUCUCAAUCCUAAAGAAAACCCUCCACACAUUUCAUCUUUGGAAGAAUUGGCUCUUGGAUCCACCACUUGAAUUCUAUGUCGAGCUAAUCACUGAAGAUUUGUUCAAUUCUACGAAGAGACCACUUCCGCUUAGCUGCCAUAGAGUAAAUGUCUUUAUAAAGGAAGCUAAGAGAAGUUGCACCAAUCCACGAAUCUUUUGAUAUCCUCUUCAUUAUCAAAUCUGAAAGAGAUGCAAUUCUAGAAACACUUGUGCUCAUCAACAAAUGGAACAAUGGUAGAGUUUGAUGGUUCUUCUCUCCCCAAUCCGGCCUUCAAGAAUUGCUAAUUUCCUGAUUUGGACUGAAAGCUUACUGGCAUUAAUGGCUCCUUCACGAU
rnacentral:lncRNA from 1 species